CAACCAUCAAGCCCCAGGCUUGUGUUGGGGCACUGCGGCUGCCGCAGGCCCCUAAAAGCAGUGGCGGACUCGCUGUCAUACCGAGCGCAGUAGCAUAUCUCGCUCAGGGCGUGGCGGCGGGCACCGGCCGUAAAACACCUACACCUAA
rnacentral:misc_RNA from 1 species